rnacentral:rRNA from 1 species
CCUACGGGUGGCAGCAGUGAGGAAUAUUGGUCAAUGGGCGCGAGCCUGAACCAGCCAAGUCGCGUGAGGGAGGACGGCCCUACGGGUUGUAAACCUCUUUUGCCGGGGAGCAACGGGCGUCACGUGUGGCGCCACUGAGAGUACCCGGAGAAACAGCAUCGGCAAACUCCGUGCCAGCAGCCGCGGUAAUACGGAGGAUGCGAGGGUUAGCCGGAUUUAUUGGGUUAAAGGGGUGCGUGGGCGGAGCGUUAAGUCAGUGGUAAAAUUGAGGGGCUCAACCCCUUCCCGCCAUUGAAACUGGCGUUCUUGAGUGGAAGAGAAGUAUGCGGAAUGCGUGGUGUAGCGGUGAAAUGCAUAGAUAUCACGCAGAACCCCGAUUGCGAAGGCAGCAUGCCGGCUUCCGACUGACGCUGAAGCACGAAAGCGUGGGGAUCGAACAGGAUUAGAUACCCGAGUAGUC